rnacentral:miRNA from 1 species
AAAUUCGAGUCAACAGGGUCGU